AGCGAACGCUGGCGGCAGGCCUAACACAUGCAAGUCGAACGGACCCUUCGGGGUUAGUGGCGGACGGGUGAGUAACACGUGGGAACGUGGCUUUAGGUUCGGAAUAGCUCCUGGAAACGGGUGGUAAUGCCGAAUGUGCCCUUCGGGGGAAAGAUUUAUCGCCUUUAGAGAGGGCCGCGUCUGAUUAGCUAGUUGGUGAGGUAAUGGCUCACCAAGGCGACGAUCAGUAGCGGGUCUGAGAGGACGACCAGCCACAUUGGGACUGAGACACGGCCCCAGCUGCUACGGGAGUCAGCAGUGGGGAAUCUUGCGCAAUGGGCGAAAGCCUGACGCAGCCAUGCCGCGUGAAUGAUGAAGGUCUUAGGAUUGGAAAAUUCUUUCACCGGUGACGAUAAUGACGGUACCGGGAGAAUAAGCCCCGACUAACUCCGUGCCAGCCGCCGCAGUAAAAC
rnacentral:rRNA from 1 species